UGGGGAAUUUUGCACAAUGGGGGAAACCCUGAUGCAGCGACGCUGCGUGAUUUAGAAGGCCUUCGGGUUGUAAAAAUCUUUUUUACGGGAUGAAAAUGACAGUACCGUAAGAAUAAGGUCCGGCUAAAUACGUGCCAGCAGCCGCGGUAAUACGUAUGGACCGAGCGUUGUCCGGAAUCAUUGGGCGUAAAGGGUACGUAGGCGGCCCAGUAAGUUAGAAGUGAAAUAAUAUAGCUCAACUAUAUAAAGCUUUUAAAACUGCUAGGCUUGAGAGAUGGAAGGGAAAGUGGAAUUCCUAGUGUAGCGGUUAAAUGCGCAGAUAUUAGGAAGAAUACCGGUGGCGAAGGCGACUUUCUGGUCAUCAUCUGACGCUGAGGUACGAAAGCGUGGGUAGCAAACAGG
rnacentral:rRNA from 1 species